rnacentral:rRNA from 1 species
UACGUAGGGUGCAAGCGUUGUCCGGAAUUAUUGGGCGUAAAGAGCGUGUAGGCGGCCCGACCAGUCCGCUGUGAAAGUCCAGGGCUCAACCCUGGAAUGCCGGUGGAUACUGUCGGGCUAGAGUCCGGAAUGGGCGAGUGGAAUUCCUGGUGUAGCGGCGAAAUGCGCAGAUAUCAGGAGGAACACCAAUGGCGAAGGCAGCUCGCUGGGACGUGACUGACGCUGAGACGCGAAAGCGUGGGGAGCAAACAGG